CACACGACUCUCGGCAACGGAUAUCUCGGCUCUCGCAUCGAUGAAGAACGUAGCGAAAUGCGAUACCUGGUGUGAAUUGCAGAAUCCCGUGAACCAUCGAGUCUUUGAACGCAAGUUGCGCCCGAGGGCAUCCGGCCGAGGGCACGCCUGCCUGGGCGUCACGC
rnacentral:rRNA from 1 species